AUUGAACGCUGGCGGCAGGCCUAACACAUGCAAGUCGAGCGGAUGAAGGGAGCUUGCUCCUGGAUUCAGCGGCGGACGGGUGAGUAAUGCCUAGGAAUCUGCCUGGUAGUGGGGGAUAACGUCCGGACACGGGCGCUAAUACCGCAUACGUCCUGAGGGAGAAAGUGGGGGAUCUUCGGACCUCACGCUCUCAGAUGAGCCUAGGUCGGAUUAGCUAGUUGGUGGGGUAAAGGCCUACCAAGGCGACGAUCCGUAACUGGUCUGAGAGGAUGAUCAGUCACACUGGAACUGAGACACGGUCCAGACUCCUACGGGAGGCAGCAGUGGGGAAUAUUGGACAAUGGGCGAAAGCCUGAUCCAGCCAUGCCGCGUGUGUGAAGAAGGUCUUCGGAUUGUAAAGCACUUUAAGUUGGGAGGAAGGGCAGUAAGUUAAUACCUUGCUGUUUUGACGUUACCAACAGAAUAAGCACCGGCUAACUUCGUG
rnacentral:rRNA from 1 species